UACGUAGGGGCCGAGCGUUGUCCGGAGUUACUGGGCGUAAAGCGCGCGCAGGCGGCUUUCUAAGCCCGGCGUGAAAGCCCCCGGCUCAACCGGGGAGGGUCGUCGGGGACUGGAGGGCUUGAGGGUGGCAGGGGCCGGUGGAAUCCCCGGUGUAGUGGUGAAAUGCGUAGAGAUCGGGGGGAACACCCGUGGCGAAGGCGGCCGGCUGGGCCGACCCUGACGCUGAGGCGCGAAGGCGUGGGGAGCGAAC
rnacentral:rRNA from 1 species